UUUUUUUUUUUUUUAUAUAAAUUAUAAAAAGGAUAUAGAGAAAUUUUCUAAUAAAUUAAAAAAUAAAUAAAUAAAAACUUCUAUAAAGAUUUAUUUUUUUUAAAUUAAGUGAAAUUAUUAAAUAAGAAAAAAAUAUGAAACAUUUUUUGUGUGGAGGCAAAUAUAUAUAUACUUCUAAAUGUGGGGGAUAAUUUUAAAUUACUAUUGUUAUGUGCAAACCUUUUUUCUUUUUAUUAUUAUUCAAGAGAAGUUUGGGGCAGUGGGCCCAAACUUUAUAUAGAAUCUUUCUAUUAAUGUGAUAAGAGUUUUCGUCAUUACAAUAUAAAACAAUUAUUGAUGAGAGUUGCUUUAUCGUGUAGCCUAUAACUCAAUAUUUG
rnacentral:misc_RNA from 1 species